UACGGGGGGGGCAAGCGUUGUUCGGAAUUACUGGGCGUAAAGGGCCAGUAGGCGGCCAACUAAGUCGGAUGUGAAAUCCCCAGGCUUAACCUGGGAACUGCAUCCGAUACUGGAUGGCUUGAAUUCGGGAGAGGGAUGCAGAAUUCCAGGUGUAGCGGUGAAAUGCGUAGAUAUCUGGAGGAACACCGGUGGCGAAGGCGGCAUCCUGGACCGACACUGACGCUGAGGAGCGAAAGCCAGGGGAGCAAACGGG
rnacentral:rRNA from 1 species